rnacentral:rRNA from 1 species
AACGUAGCUCAGUCGAGAUUCCUACGGGAGGCAGCAGCUAAGAAUCUUCCGCAAUGGGCGAAAGCCUGACGGAGCGACGCCGCGUGGACGAAGAAGGCCGGAAGGUUGUAAAGUCCUUUUCCUGGGGGAGAAUAAUGCGGGGAGGGAAUGCCCUGCAGAUGACGUGAACCAGGGAAUAAGCCCCGGCUAAUUACGUGCCAGCAGCCGCGGUAACACGUAAGGGGCGAGCGUUGUUCGGAUUUAUUGGGCGUAAAGGGCGUGUAGGCGGUAGUGCAAGUCUGGUGUGAAAGGCCCCGGCUCAACCGGGGAAGCGCGCUGGAAACUGUGCUGCUAGAGUUUAGGAGGGGAAGCUGGAAUUCCUGGUGUAGGGGUGAAAUCUGUAGAGAUCAGGAAGAACACCGGAGGCGAAGGCGAGCUUCUGGCCAUAGACUGACGCUGAGGCGCGAAAGCGUGGGGAGCAAACAGGAUUAGAUACCCUGGUAGUCCACGCUGUAAACGAUGUGCACUAGGUGUUGGGGGUAUGAACUCUCGGUGCCGGAGCUAACGCGUUAAGUGCACCGCCUGGGGAGUACGCCGGCAACGGUAAAACUCAAAGGAAUUGACGG